GCGUGGUGACACAGUCCACAGAAUUGAUGAAUGUGUAAAUGAAUUAUGUUCAGAGGUCUCUUAAAGGAGCCACCCAUUGGUUUUUAAUUCCUCAUUCUUAGAUCCAGUUAUUUUAAAGUUGUCUUCCAUCCUGAUUUCAUGGCAGCCGCAGGGUCUCCUCCAUGGGUGUGACUGACACUGGUGAGGUGGUGGGUUCUUCUGUGGGUUUUGGUGACGUGUAUUUUCUCUUGAGUGCUGUGAUUGCUGUGCAGUAUUGGAGUUUGAAUUUUAAUUAAUGGUUGUACACUUUCACACCUAUAGUCGUGCCCGGUUGGAGCCCUGUGGUUUGUUGUUAACGUUUCCUGUUUCUUUUGU